CGGUGGAGCAUGUGGUUUAAUUCGACACAACGCGCAGAACCUUACCAGGCCUUGACAUCCCGUGCUAAGCCCAGAGAUGGGGCCCGCGCGAACAGGUGUGACGAGCGCGACCCUCGCCUUUAGUUGCCAUCGGGAUGUCAAGUCUCAUGGCCCUUACGGCCUGGCUACAUACAUGGCGGUGACAUGGGCAGCGACCACGCGAGUGGAUGCGUCCCAAAAAACCGUCCCAGUUCAGAUUGCACUGCAACUCGGGUGCAUGAAGGUGGAAUCGCUAGUAAUCGAGAACAGCAGGCUGCGGUGAAUACGUUCCCGGGCCUUGUACACACCGCCGUCACACCAUGGGAGUUGGCUCUACCCGAAGACGGUGUGCUAACCUCGCAAGAGGAGGCAGCCGGCCACGUCGGGUCAGCGACUGGGGUGAAGUCGUACAAGGU
rnacentral:rRNA from 1 species